rnacentral:rRNA from 1 species
GGGGAAUAUUGCGCAAUGGCCGAAAGGCUGACGCAGCGACGCCGCGUGGGGGAGGAAGGUCUUCGGAUUGUAAACCCCUGUUGCCCGGGACGAAUCCUGGUUUCGACCAGAUUGACGGUACCGGGUGAGGAAGCACCGGCUAACUCUGUGCCAGCAGCCGCGGUAAUACAGAGGGUGCGAGCGUUGUCCGGAAUCACUGGGCGUAAAGGGCGCGUAGGUGGCUUGCCAAGCGUGUGGUGAAAGCCCGGAGCUCAACUCCGGGUCGGCCAUGCGAACUGGCAGGCUAGAGCACGGUAGAGGCCAAUGGAAUUCCGGGUGUAGCGGUGGAAUGCGUAGAGAUCCGGAAGAACACCGGUGGCGAAGGCGGUUGGCUGGGCCGUUGCUGACACUGAGGCGCGACAGCGUGGGGAGCAAAC